rnacentral:miRNA from 1 species
ACUAAUUUCCUUUAAGUAA